ensembl:lncRNA
CCACUUUUGCCACCGGGUUUGAGUGCUGGGGGGGUGUGGGCCGUCCCCCCGCCGCGCUCCUCCCCACCGCAGGGCCCCCCCGGUGCCUUCAUCCUCCUCCUCCUCCUCCUCCUCUCUGUGUCGGCUCCGCAGCCCCCGCGUGUAUCCUUCAGCUCCGUCCCCACUGCCGGAGGAACCCAUGGGGCCCCCAGAGUGUCCCCCACGGGGCAGACGGCGGAGCCGCCAGGGCACAACCUGAGCUGCGUGUCCUAUAAGCACCCCAGUGUGCGGGGCAGCCUGGUGGGGGGGGAGGUGGGGGCAGCCCCCAGCACCGUUCGCUGCCCCCCCCGGCAGUGCUGCAUUGGGAUCUGGAACCGCAGUCAGGCGCUGGUGCAGGG